UGGGGAAUAUUGGACAAUGGGCGCAAGCCUGAUCCAGCCAUGCCGCGUGAGUGAUGAAGGCCCUAGGGUUGUAAAGCUCUUUCACUGGUGAAGAUAAUGACGGUAACCGGAGAAGAAGCCCCGGCUAACUUCGUGCCAGCAGCCGCGGUAAUACGAAGGGGGCUAGCGUUGUUCGGAUUUACUGGGCGUAAAGCGCACGUAGGCGGACUUUUAAGUCAGGGGUGAAAUCCCGGGGCUCAACCCCGGAACUGCCUUUGAUACUGGAAGUCUUGAGUAUGGUAGAGGUGAGUGGAAUUCCGGGUGUAGAGGUGAAAUUCGUAGAUAUUCGGAGGAACACCAGUGGCGAAGGCGGCUCACUGGACCAUUACUGACGCUGAGGUGCGAAAGCGUGGGGAGCAAACAGG
rnacentral:rRNA from 1 species